rnacentral:rRNA from 1 species
UACGUAGGGGGCUAGCGUUGUCCGGAUUUAUUGGGCGUAAAGAGCGUGUAGGCGGCCAUGUAGGUCCGGUGUGAAAACUCGAGGCUUAACCUCGAGAUGUCAUCGGAAACCAUUUGGCUAGAGUCCGGGGAGAGGAGAGUGGAAUUCCUGGUGUAGCGGUGAAAUGCGCAGAUAUCAGGAAGAACACCCGUGGCGAAAGCGGCUCUCUGGAACGGUACUGACGCUGAGACGCGAAAAGCGUGGGGGAGCGAACAGG